rnacentral:rRNA from 1 species
UACGGAGGGUGCGAACGUUAAUCGGAAUUACUGGGCGUAAAGCGCACGUAGGCGGUCCGUUAAGUGAGGUGUGAAAUCCCCGGGCUUAACCUGGGAAUGGCAUUUCAGACUGGCGGACUCGAGUACGGUAGAGGGGGGUGGAAUUUCCUGUGUAGCGGUGAAAUGCGUAGAUAUAGGAAGGAACACCAGUGGCGAAGGCGGCCCCCUGGACUGAUACUGACGCUGAGGUGCGAAAGCGUGGGGAGCAAACAGG